GAUGAACGCUGGCGGCGUGCCUAAUACAUGCAAGUCGAGCGAACGGACGAGAAGCUUGCUUCUCUGAUGUUAGCGGCGGACGGGUAAGUAACACGUGGAUAACCUACCUAUAAGACUGGGAUAACUUCGGGAAACCGGAGCUAAUACCGGAUAAUAUUUUGAACCGCAUGGUUCAAAAGUGAAAGACGGUCUUGCUGUCACUCAUAGAUGGAUCCGCGCUGCAUUAGCUAGUUGGUAAGGUAACGGCUUACCAAGGCAACGAUGCAUAGCCGACCUGAGAGGGUGAUCGGCCACACUGGAACUGAGACACGGUCCAGACUCCUACGGGAGGCAGCAGUAGGGAAUCUUCCGCAAUGGGCGAAAGCCUGACGGAGCAACGCCGCGUGAGUGAUGAAGGUCUUCGGAUCGUAAAACUCUGUUAUUAGGGAAGAACAUAUGUGUAAGUAACUGUGCACAUCUUGACGGUACCUAAUCAGAAAGCCACGGCUAACUACGUG
rnacentral:rRNA from 1 species